rnacentral:lncRNA from 1 species
CCCAAUGCGAGCCUCGGGGUCCUCCUCCCCACGAACCUCGACGAGGAGACGUCCGCCCUCUCCGGCUGGAUGGUUGAGUCCAACCGCGCCGUGCGCUACGUCGACUCCUACCACUUCGACGUCCCCCAGGGGAAGCGCGCCAUCGAGCUGUUAUCCGGCAAGGAAGGGAUCAUCUCCCAGAUGGUGGAGACCACCCCUGAAAAGCAGUACAAUCUUACCUUCACGGUAGGUGCCGCCGGCGACUCGUGCCAGACGCCUCUGGCGGUGAUGGCCUUCGCCGGGGACCAGGCGCAGAACUUCCACUACUCGCCCACGGGCAACGCCAC